CGCCGCAAUGCAGGAGCGGCCGGCGACGCGGCCGGCCCGCCGUCAGUACCUCGACAACGACGCUGCACAUCGCAUCGCGAAACUCCUUACGAUAUCCAACCAUUAACCGCCAAAUUAAUACAACCAGCCGAAAAUGUAAGGCUCUCAAACGCCCUCUGGUCCUUCCAGGUGACGCGAAAGAGCAGUGAGCAAAAUUGCGAUCGUACCGCGACGUGUCGGAAUUCUGCCGGUGAACACCAUGUGCAUUUCUCUGGCGCACGAGACCCGUCACCCGGUUCCAGUUAUGCAAUACCUGACGCGAAAAUUACUGGAACUUCUGCCCUGAAUUAUUGCUGUAUCAAGUUGGACAAGAAAAUAGAGGCAGCGGAGAUAUGAACACAAAUUAUAGCUGCGACUGAGGAAAAUGCGUUUGAUGCGUAAUUUUUUCAUAUAAAAAAAAUGAACGAUCGUAAUUACCAAUAAAUAGCAUCUUAGUCUACUAAAACUUAUCUAUACUAAUAUUGUAAAUGCGAAAGUAACUCUGUCUGUCUGUUUGGCGCUCGUAACAAAAACAAUUGAACCGAAUUUUAUGAAAUUUGGUAUAGCUACUUUUUACGCACAAAACCUGACGACCAACCCUCUAAAACGCGAACGAUAAAUUAAAUAAUCUUUAGAUAUAUCUGACUGUAAGGAUGAAUGUAACCCUCAUCACUAAUAAUAAUACAUUAAUAAUGUUGUUUCCAACGACUGAGAGAAUAUGAUAAAUACUACAACACUACCCAUUUCAAAGGCAUCGACUAUGAAUAAGUAUAUCUUUAUUUGAGUUAAGAAUUAACGAUAAAACUUUGUUGGUACAAAUAGUGGUGUCCAUCAAAUAAAACCAUAUUAUAAGUCAAGUAUGUACAAAAUAUAAUUCUGUUGUAUUGCUGAAUUCCGGAUUAAAGACUUAGUAAGCAACCCUUAUAACGGCCAAAAUGAACAUUGCAUUUUAAAUAUUUUGUAUUGCAUAUAUUAUUCUUGAAAUUUGUCUGGCCCGUAGCAUAUAAGGCUGCUGAUACCGAAGUCCUGGGAUCACAAACCGUUUUGGACCAGUCAAAAGUCAUACUGUCGAGAAUUUUUUAUUGGCAAUCCGGAGUCUGAAAAUUGGCUGCGUUUACAUUCCCGUGUCGCGGAAAGUACGUGAAAGCUGUUUAGUCUGAACUUCUAAACUUCUGAACUGUAUCCGGACGUGUCGGUUUGGUUUUUGGAAAUUUAAAUUUAGAAUCUCCUAUUUUGUGGUCUUCUGAAUUCUCCUUUUAGAAUAUCUGUGUAUAUGAGUACAAGUGCAUAUCUUGGGCACAUAUUGAGAACAAAUUAUAUACCAAGCCAGUUUCAUAAGAUACUUAUGCGUUUGAUAAAACUAUUUUAUGUUGUUAUUAUUAAUACCCGAAACAAUGUUGUCAACUUAAUUAGAUACGUGUUAUAUAAUAAGUACUGGUACAUGUUGCCUCAGACAGUAAAUUAGUAGGUAGAUUUUUUAUUUAAAGUUUAAGUUUUACUUGCCAGGUUUUUAGAGACGUUAGGUUUGGAAAACCCGCUUUACCAAGUUACGUCCAAUUAAAUACCAUGGAAAUACACAUAAAUAAUGCGUUUUGCAUAUUACGCUAUUUAAGUAAUUAAAUUAAACACGUAUAUUAAAAUGUCACCACGUGUCAAGAUUAUUAAUGUGUGCAAAGAUUAUAAUAUUGUCAAUACAGAUUGAUUUUAGCAGAACUCAAUAUAUUACUUCGUUCAAAUGAGAACGGUUGGUUUAUUUUUUUUAAAAUAAAACAUAGCUUCAUCAUACCAAAUAGUCCAAAUUAAUUGAUUUGAGCCUCCGACUUUUGAAUUGAACUCCAGUUCAUAGAUUGAUCGAAUUGAUUUAUAGAAAUUUCAAGACACGUCUUCCGUUUUAAAUGUGUUUGUAUAGCCUAUUCCAAUGAAGAUGAAGUAAAGAUAAACAAACCUAACUAUUACUUACAUAUUUCAGGCGAUUUCUUAAUAACUUCUGCUAUAUUACGCACUAAAACAGUUCUUGUAUAAUAUAUCUUUAUUUAAAAUAAUCCACUUAACGUUCACUAUACACUAUACCAUAUACUUCAAUUCAAUGUUAAAGUUUUUUAUUUGUCUUUACUCCUCCUGUGGUUGGAAUAGGUACAGUUAGUGUUUACAGGUGCGGACGAAUGUCAAGCAUAAGAGAAAACUCCAGAUCGAGGUCCACAUUAAGGUCGUAGUCUUGAGGCUUCCAGAACUUCCAGGAUCCAGAUUCGGUGCAGAGGAAUUAAGAAACGAAGUCGUUUUUCAAAUUCCAAAUAUAUAUUUUUAGUUCUCACGUUUU